GACUGACUACAGAUGGGUCAGUUUUUGAUUUAGAGAGCAAAUAGAAAUAAUUUAAUCAUUAUUUUUAUCCAUCAGGUCUGUACUGCAGCAAUGCAUCACUUCAUUUCCAUUGCGUUUUCACUGCUGAUCUUUACUGGGCUGCAUGUGAGUGUUCGGUCCACAGGAAGACGUUUGGAGCGGAGCAGCGAAAGACAUUUUACAUCAUUGCUGACUGUUUCGAAUGGGAUGCACUGGGGAUCGUGGGGUCGAAGUGAGUACAUACACCAAGGGGUUUAAUGUGAAGGUAGAAAGACAUGAUUAUUUUAUAACACCGCACUCAAUGCGAUUUAUCUUUUCUGUGAAAGUCAAUCUAAUGACGCAUCAGGCAUCAUUCGGUCUGACGAAGGAAGCUUUGGUCAGUGGAUAGAUUAUAUCCAAAUGUGUCCUAAUGGAUUCGUAACAGCUUUUCAGUUGAAAGUUGAAUCUUCCCAAGGAAUUGGUGAUGAUACGGCCGUAAACAACAUCAGUGUCUGAAAUGCUUCGAUCAAGGAUUCAGUCUCUAAACCCCACCUUUGCUCUGAUUGGUCAGAAACCAAACUCCUAUUAUCAUAUCUGAGGGUGUAUUCACACCUGUCUUGUUUGGUUCGAUUGAAACUAACUCAGGUUCGUUUCCCCCUUUGGUGCGGAUCUUUGGGGCAGGUGUGAAUACAGUAAUCGCACUCAGGUGCGCACCAAACAACCGCACCGAGACCCAGCUGAAGAGGUGGUCUCGGUCCGCUUCCAAACAAACUCUGG